rnacentral:rRNA from 1 species
ACGAACGCUGGCGGCGUGCUUAACACAUGCAAGUCGAACGGAAAGGCCCUGCUUUUGUGGGGUGCUCGAGUGGCGAACGGGUGAGUAACACGUGAGUAACCUGCCCUUGACUUUGGGAUAACUUCAGGAAACUGGGGCUAAUACCGGAUAGGAGCUCCUGCUGCAUGGUGGGGGUUGGAAAGUUUCGGCGGUUGGGGAUGGACUCGCGGCUUAUCAGCUUGUUGGUGGGGUAGUGGCUUACCAAGGCUUUGACGGGUAGCCGGCCUGAGAGGGUGACCGGCCACAUUGGGACUGAGAUACGGCCCAGACUCCUACGGGAGGCAGCAGUGGGGAAUAUUGCACAAUGGGCGGAAGCCUGAUGCAGCAACGCCGCGUGCGGGAUGACGGCCUUCGGGUUGUAAACCGCUUUCGCCUGUGACGAAGCGUGAGUGACGGUAAUGGGUAAAGAAGCACCGGCUAACUACGUGCCAGCAGCCGCGGUGAUACGUAGGGUGCGAGCGUUGUCCGGAUUUAUUGGGCGUAAAGGGCUCGUAGGUGGUUGAUCGCGUCGGAAGUGUAAUCUUGGGGCUUAACCCUGAGCGUGCUUUCGAUACGGGUUGACUUGAGGAAGGUAGGGGAGAAUGGAAUUCCUGGUGGAGCGGUGGAAUGCGCAGAUAUCAGGAGGAACACCAGUGGCGAAGGCGGUUCUCUGGGCCUUUCCUGACGCUGAGGAGCGAAAGCGUGGGGAGCGAACAGGCUUAGAUACCCUGGUAGUCCACGCUGUAAACGGUGGGUACUAGGUGUGGGGUCCAUUCCACGGGUUCCGUGCCGUAGCUAACGCUUUAAGUACCCCGCCUGGGGAGUACGGCCGCAAGGCUAAAACUCAAAGGAAUUGACGGGGCCCCGCACAGGCGGCGGAGCAUGCGGAUUAAUUCGAUGCAACGCGUAGAACCUUACCUGGGUUUGACAUGGAUCGGGAGUGCUCAGAGAUGGGUGUGCCUCUUUUGGGGUCGGUUCACAGGUGGUGCAUGGCUGUCGUCAGCUCGUGUCGUGAGAUGUUGGGUUAAGUCCCGCAACGAGCGCAACCCUUGUUCACUGUUGCCAGCACGUUAUGGUGGGGACUCAGUGGAGACCGCCGGGGUCAACUCGGAGGAAGGUGGGGAUGACGUCAAGUCAUCAUGCCCCUUAUGUCCAGGGCUUCACGCAUGCUACAAUGGCUGGUACAGAGAGUGGCGAGCCUGUGAGGGUGAGCGAAUCUCGGAAAGCCGGUCUCAGUUCGGAUUGGGGUCUGCAACUCGACCUCAUGAAGUCGGAGUCGCUAGUAAUCGCAGAUCAGCAACGCUGCGGUGAAUACGUUCCCGGGGCUUGUACACACCGCCCGUCAAGUCAUGAAAGUUGGUAACACCCGAAGCCGGUGGCCUAACCGUUGUGGGGGAGCCGUCGAAGGUGGGACUGGUGAUUAGGACUAAG